rnacentral:rRNA from 1 species
GGCAGCAUAGAGAGCUUGCUCUCUGAUGGCGAGUGGCGAACGGGUGAGUAAUAUAUCGGAACGUGCCCAGUAAUGGGGAAUAACUAGCCGAAAGGUUAGCUAAUACCGCAUACGACCUACGGGUGAAAGCAGGGGAUCUUAGGACCUUGCGUUAUUGGAGCGGCCGAUAUCUGAUUAGCUUGUUGGUGGGGUAAAAGCCUACCAAGGCAACGAUCAGUAGCUGGUCUGAGAGGACGAUCAGCCACACUGGAACUGAGACACGGUCCAGACUCCUACGGGAGGCAGCAGUGGGGAAUUUUGGACAAUGGGGGAAACCCUGAUCCAGCCAUCCCGCGUGAGUGAAGAAGGCCUUCGGGUUGUAAAGCUCUUUCGAAAGUGAAGAAAACUUAUUUCAUAAUAUGUUAUGAGUAUGACGGUAACUUUAGAAGAAGCACCGGCUAACUACGUGCCAGCAGCCGCGGUAAUACGUAGGGUGCGAGCGUUAAUCGGAAUUACUGGGCGUAAAGCGUGCGCAGGCGGUUUUGUAAGUCAGAUGUGAAAUCCCCGAGCUUAACUUGGGAACUGCGUUUGAAACUACAAGACUAGAGUGUGUCAGAGGGGGGUAGAAUUCCACGUGUAGCAGUGAAAUGCGUAGAGAUGUGGAGGAAUACCAAUGGCGAAGGCAGCCCCCUGGGAUAACACUGACGCUCAUGCACGAAAGCGUGGGGAGCGAACAGGAUUAGAUACCCUGGUAGUCCACGCCCUAAACGAUGUCAACUAGUUGUUGGUGGAGUAAGAUCCAUGAGUAACGUAGCUAACGCGUGAAGUUG